UACAGUUUAAUGCGUCUAUUUGUGAUGUUCGGAAAUUGGAGUGAUGUUUCAGUGUGUGAUGUGCUGCGGGGCAGGUACUCCGUGACCCCCGGUAAAGCCAUGGCAAGGAUGAGAAUCUCUUGAUCUCUGAGGUUGCCUUGGCAUCCCAGAGCCUCUCCCCGUGCAGAUUAUGAGGGGAAUAUUUUCUAAAUCCGUUGUUUACUGAUCUUUUUCGUGUUGAAAUGAUGCAUUUUGCUCAGUUUGUGUUGUCUAAGCUUUAGGUGGCAUUUCCUGUGGGGCUGGUGGAGUGCUGAAGGUUGCUGUUGAUGCUGGGAGAGGCAAUUGCCCUGCAAAGCUUUCCUAUAAAACAUAACUAUAUGAAAUAAUGGAGUUUCUACGAUAAGAACAGGAUUUAGGCUCUCAGUUGAGAACUGGGCAGUAACUUCAUCAACUAGAGUUGCAUCACGGAUGAUAUCCAAGCUCUUCUUUAAGACUGAGAGCACAGCAAGGAGCAGAACCCAGGUUCAAGUGCAUCGAAACAAUGCCAGGAGCACAUAAAUCUCUCGGAAACCAGCAUAAAAGAAUGCAUUAUAGAUGUCUUUAUCUCAGUCAAGUGCCUGCCACUAUAGUGGGUGAACAUGAAGCUGCACUUGCUGAGGUAACACACAGGUGAUGCACUGGCACUCCUGGGUUAAUGAGAAUUGUUGCCAGGUGUUUCCCGUUAGGUGUUUUCCAUUAGGUUUCCAUUAGUGGAGCUGCACUGAAAAGCUGGAGCCCUGAAGCUGUGCCAUCCAUAGUGAGUGUUGUCUAGUGAGUGUCCUGAUGUCGCUGAGCUAACGCUGUGCUGUCACUAAGUCAGCUCAUCCUUGUUUAAACUCUCUUGAAGAGUGCUGGAAGUGCACGUGGGAGUACAGAGCACAUGUGGGAAAGCUUUAGGGGUGUGCAGCUUCCGAACUACACAGACGUUUCAGGUUCCCACAGCUCCUCCUGCUGUGUCUUUUCCUCUCUGGCAAGAGGAAAACCCACUUGGCUUUCCCGUGCAGGGCUGCCUGAGGCUGUGAACUGCAAUUCCCAGAGCAUCCUCGGGCUCCUGGUUGUCACGGGAUGAGUGGCAGCUUCAGGCAAGCCCUGCCUUAGCCUCAGAUUUUUGUCAGCACUUAAAAUUUAAGAACUCGCUCUGGCCCACAAGUUCUAAGGACGGCAGAUCAGCUCUGUUCACAAAAUGAAUUAUUUAUUAAGCAGACAGGAGAUAACAGACAAAAUUUGUCAAAUGGGCCGUUUUACUUGUGUUGUUAUCAGUCUGUGUAGAUCAGGAUGUUCCCCACUCCUUGAGUCUCAAAAUCACAGGAAAGAUGAGAGGAAAAUCGGGAUCAAAGGAAAGUUCUCAGAGUUAAUUUUUCAGCUGCAGUGACUGGAGGAGUACAACAGAUGGGCCAGGGACUCCCUUCACUUCCAUUCAAGCUUCUCAGUCCAGGGUUCUCCUUCAGUGAAUUUCAGCAUUUCACAUUUCCUGGCUCAACCUGUCAACUAUUAGACGAUUCUACAAACUACCCCAAAAAUAUACAUGUGCUAAUUAAUAGUCUGGUUGCCUCAAAGGUGUGAUGUAACUCAAAGUGUUCCUACCUUCUCCAGUCAGGAAUUGUGCGCCUUACCCUGAGGAGGUAGGAGGAGGUGAACAAAACUGCUUCCAUAACCACAGGAAAAUCCGGGUUUCAUUCAGGGAGAAAUCCGCGGGGACAAGCAGGGCGAAGACACGAGCAUUCCGAGACAACACUGUCAGGUCAGACAACCCCUUUCAGAAAACACACAAAUAUCAACCAGCAGAAAACACACAAAUAUCAACCAGCGGGAAACACACAAAUAUCAAUCAGCGGGAAACACACAAGUAGCAGCCAGCGGUUCUGGCCCUUAGCUGCGAGCAGCGCGCUGCGGUCGCGGCCGCCACACGGGGGCACCGGAGGAGCGGUUUGGGAAACCUGGGCUCCUUUCAGAGCCCCAAAACCAUCUCUGCCAGCCGGACCGGGCUUGGUGCUUCUGGCGUGGACAGGCGGCGCCAGCUCUGGGUGGUUUUGUUCCACUCUCAGCUGGCGCUGGGGACACCGUGUGAGAAUGCCGUGUGACGGUGUCGAUGCUGGUGAAUGCCCAAGUUCACGGUUUAGCUCCCCUGAUGCCGUGCUGGGUGUGGCUUUGGGUCAUGCCUGGCCACAGGACCCUGUGGCAGUGGGCAAGUCGGCAGGUUUGGCUGCUCUGCUGUCCCAGCCCCGUCGUUUUUGGUCACUGCUUGUUUCUGCAGAGAGGAAAAGCAUCCCUGCUUGGCCGCCGUUUCCCUGCAAGCAGCAGAGCCCAGGCCCGAGGCUGCUCGGCGUUGGUGUGACCCACUGCUGGUGUCACCUGCCCUGGGCACAGUCACCACAGCUGCCCAGAGCCAGGAGGAUGCAGCUCUUGUUUUCAAGGAGGACAGGAAAAAUCAUUUAAUUUGACCCAGCUAUGCCAAAACCUUUGGGUUUGGGUGGGAUUGAGCAGCCAAACCCCAGAGAUUCCAGCCCUGAUGGCCUGCUCUGGAGGACACCUGCUCCUGCAUGUGCUGUGGGGUCUCUCUCAUUUCUCAGUGCAAUCGCUGCUCCCCUGUGAGAAGUCCCCAGGAUGGAGCCAUUGAAUGCUGUGAGGGGAUGGGGGCCCCAGAGAUGCAAUUCUGGGAACAUCCUGGCGGCCCUGGGGGGUCCCUCGGGGGAAAUAAGGGUGGCACUGGCAUUAGCAGAGGUUUCAGACGUGACAAUAAAACAAACCUUGGACAUCC